rnacentral:rRNA from 1 species
AUGCAGUCGAACGAAGCCUUCGGGCUUAGUGGCGGACGGGUUAGUAACGCGUGGGAACGUGCCUUUCACUACGGAAUAGUCCCGGGAAACUGGGUUUAAUACCGUAUACGCCCUUCGGGGGAAAGAAUUUCGGUGAAAGAUCGGCCCGCGUUAGAUUAGGUAGUUGGUGGGGUAAUGGCCUACCAAGCCUACGAUCUAUAGCUGGUUUUAGAGGAUGAUCAGCAACACUGGGACUGAGACACGGCCCAGACUCCUACGGGAGGCAGCAGUGGGGAAUCUUGGACAAUGGGCGCAAGCCUGAUCCAGCCAUGCCGCGUGAGUGAUGAAGGCCUUAGGGUCGUAAAGCUCUUUCGCCAGGGAUGAUAAUGACAGUACCUGGUAAAGAAACCCCGGCUAACUCCGUGCCAGCAGCCGCGGUAAUACGGAGGGGGUUAGCGUUGUUCGGAAUUACUGGGCGUAAAGCGCGCGUAGGCGGAUCGGAAAGUUGGGGGUGAAAUCCCGGGGCUCAACCCCGGAACUGCCUCCAAAACUAUCGGUCUAGAGUUCGAGAGAGGUGAGUGGAAUUCCGAGUGUAGAGGUGAAAUUCGUAGAUAUUCGGAGGAACACCAGUGGCGAAGGCGGCUCACUGGCUCGAUACUGACGCUGAGGUGCGAAAGUGUGGGGAGCAAACAGGAUUAGAUACCCUGGUAGUCCACACCGUAAACGAUGAAUGCCAGUCGUCGGGCAGUAUACUGUUCGGUGACACA